GCCCUUGCUCAGUAACACGUGGAGAACGUGCCCUUAAGUGGGGGAUAAUCUCGGGAAAUUGAGGAUAAUACCCCAUAGGUCAUGGGAUCUGGAAUGACCCAUGGCUGAAAGUUCCGGCGCUUAAGGAUCGCUCUGCGGCCUAUCAGGUAGUAGUGGGUGUAACGUACCCCCUAGCCUACGACGGGUAUGGGCCUUGAGAGAGGGAGCCCAGAGUUGGAUUCUGAGACACGAAUCCAGGCCCUACGGGGCGCAGCAGUCGCGAAAACUUCACACUGGGGGGAACCCCGAUGAGGGAAUUCCUAGUGCUUGGGCAUUUGUCCAAGCUUUUCCCGAGCGUAGAUAACUCGGGGAAUAAGGGCUGGGUAAGACGGGUGCCAGCCGCCGCGGUAAUACCUGCAGCCCGAGUGGUGGUCGAUUUUAUUGAGUCUAAAGCGUUCGUAGCCGGUCCGUUAAAUCCUUGGGUAAAUCGGGAAGCUCAACUUUCCGACUUCCGAGGAGACUGGCGGACUUGGGACCGGGAGAGGCCAGAGGUACUUCUGGGGUAGGGGUAAAGUCCUGUAAUCCUAGAAGGACCACCGGUGGCGAAGGCGUCUGGCUAGAACGGAUCCGACGGUGAGGGACGAAGCCCUGGGUCGCAAACGGGAUUAGAUACCCCGGUAGUCCAGGGUGUAAACGCUGCCGACUUGGUGUUGGGGGCCCUUCGCGGGAACUCAGUGCCGGAGAGAAGUUGUUAAGUCGGCCACUUGGGGAGUACGUCCGCAAGGAUGAAACUUAAAGGAAUUGGCGGGGGAGCACAAGGGC
rnacentral:rRNA from 1 species